rnacentral:rRNA from 1 species
GACGAACGCUGGCGGCGUGCUUAACACAUGCAAGUCGAACGGAAAGACCCUGCUUUUGUGGGGUGCUCGAGUGGCGAACGGGUGAGUAACACGUGAGUAACCUGCCCUUGACUUUGGGAUAACUUCAGGAAACUGGGGCUAAUACCGGAUAGGAGCUCCUGCUGCAUGGUGGGGGUUGGAAAGUUUCGGCGGUUGGGGAUGGACUCGCGGCUUAUCAGCUUGUUGGUGGGGUAGUGGCUUACCAAGGCUUUGACGGGUAGCCGGCCUGAGAGGGUGACCGGCCACAUUGGGACUGAGAUACGGCCCAGACUCCUACGGGAGGCAGCAGUGGGGAAUAUUGCACAAUGGGCGGAAGCCUGAUGCGGCAACGCCGCGUGCGGGAUGACGGCCUUUGGGUUGUAAACCGCUUUCGCCUGUGACGAAGCGUGAGUGACGGUAAUGGGUAAAGAAGCACCGGCUAACUACGUG